UACAGAGGUCCCAAGCGUUGUUCGGAUUUAUUGGGCGUAAAGGGUGCGCAGGCGGCGGAGUAAGUUGGGUGUGAAAUCCCGGGGCUCAACCUCGGAAUUGCAUUCAAUACUGCUUCGCUCGAGUACUGGAGAGGAGACUGGAAUUUACGGUGUAGCAGUGAAAUGCGUAGAUAUCGUAAGGAAGGCCGGUGGCGAAAGCGAGUCUCUGGACAGUUACUGACGCUGAUGCACGAAGGCCAGGGGAGCAAACGGG
rnacentral:rRNA from 1 species